rnacentral:rRNA from 1 species
UACAGAGGGUGCGAGCGUUAAUCGGAAUUACUGGGCGUAAAGGGCGCGUAGGUUGUUGAUCAAGAGGGUUGUGAAAUACCUGGGCUUAACCUGGGAAUGGCAAUCCAGACUGACUGACUAGAGUGCGGUAGAGGAUAGUGGAAUUUCCGGUGUAGCGGUGAAAUGCGUAGAGAUCGGAAGGAACACCAGUGGCGAAGGCGGCUAUCUGGACUGACACUGACACUGAGGCGCGAAAGCGUGGGGAGCGAACAGG